AACGAACGCUGGCGGCAUGCCUAACACAUGCAAGUCGAACGAGACCUUCGGGUCUAGUGGCGCACGGGUGCGUAACGCGUGGGAACCUGCCCUUAGGUUCGGAAUAACUCCCCGAAAGGGGUGCUAAUACCGGAUAAUGUCUUCGGACCAAAGAUUUAUCGCCUUUGGAUGGGCCCGCGUUGGAUUAGCUAGUUGGUAGGGUAAAAGCCUACCAAGGCGACGAUCCAUAGCUGGUCUGAGAGGAUGAUCAGCCACACUGGGACUGAGACACGGCCCAGACUCCUACGGGAGGCAGCAGUGGGGAAUAUUGGACAAUGGGCGAAAGCCUGAUCCAGCAAUGCCGCGUGAGUGAUGAAGGCCGUAGGGUUGUAAAGCUCGUUUACCCGGGAUGAUAAUGACAGUACCGGGAGAAUAAGCUCCGGCUAACUCCGUG
rnacentral:rRNA from 1 species